UACGUAGGGCGCAAGCGUUGUCCGGAAUUAUUGGGCGUAAAGAGCUCGUAGGCGGCUUGUCACGUCGGGUGUGAAAGCCCCCGGCUCAACUGGGGAGGGUCAUUCGAUACUGAUCGACUCGAAGGCAGGAGAGGGUAGUGGAAUUCCCGGUGUAGUGGUGAAAUGCGUAGAUAUGCGGAGGAACACCGAUGGCGAAGGCAAUCCCCUGGCCUGCACUGACGCUCAUGCACGAAAGCGUGGGGAGCAAACAGG
rnacentral:rRNA from 1 species